GGGGCGUGAGAGCGCGGACCCCCACACUGGCACUGCGACACGGGCCAGACUCCUACGGGAGGCAGCAGUAAGGAAUAUUGCGCAAUGGACGAAAGUCAGACGCAGCGACGCCGCGUGGGCGAUGAAGGCCUUCGGGUUGUAAAGCCCUUUUAUGGGGGAAGAGAAAAAGGACGGUACCCCAUGAAUAAGUCCCGGCUAACUACGUGCCAGCAGCCGCGGUAAAACGUAGGGGACAAGCGUUAUCCGGAUUCACUGGGCGUAAAGAGCGUUGAGGCGGUUCCGUAAGUUGGGCGUGAAAGCUCCGGGCUUAACCCGGAGAUGUCGUUCAAUACUGCGGGGCUUGAGGACAGCAGAGGAAGGUGGAAUUCCCGGUGUAGUGGUGAAAUGCGUAGAUAUCGGGAGGAACACCCGUGGCGAAGGCGGCCUUCUGGGCUGUUCCUGACGCUGAAGGCGGAAAGCUAGGGGAGCGAACGGGAUUAGAUACCCCCGGUAGUCCUAGCUGUAAACGAUGGAUGCUGGGUGUGGGGGGUGUAAUUCCCUCUGUGCCGAAGCAAACGCGUUAAGCAUCCCGCCUGGGGACUACGGCCGCGAGGCUAAAACUCAAACGAAUUGACGGGGGCCCGCACAAGCAGCGGAGCGUGUGGUUUAAUUCGAUGCUACACGAAGAACCUUACCUGGGUUUGACAUGCACGUGGUAGGGAACCGAAAGGGGACCGACCUUCGGGAGCGUGCACAGGUGCUGCAUGGCUGUCGUCAGCUCGUGCCGUGAGGUGUCGGGUUAAGUCCCGUAACGAGCGCAACCCUUGCCCUUAGUUACAAGUGUCUAAGGGGACUGCCCGGGACAACUGGGAGGAAGGUGGGGAUGACGUCAAGUCAGCAUGGCCUUUAUAUCCAGGGCUACACACACGCUACAAUGGCCAGUACAAUAGGUAGCCAAGUCGUGAGACGGAGCCAAUCCUUAAAGCUGUUCUCAGUUCGAAUUGCAGUCUGCAACUCGACUGCAUGAA
rnacentral:rRNA from 1 species